rnacentral:tRNA from 1 species
GGAGAGGUGGCCGAGCGGUCGAAGGCGGCGGUCUUGAAAACCGCAGUGGGGCUAAUCCCCACCGGGGGUUCAAAUCCCUCCCUCUCCG